rnacentral:rRNA from 1 species
GGAUCCAGACUUUGAUUCUGGCUCACGAUGAACGCUGGCGGCGUGCUUAACACAUGCAAGUCGAACGAAGCACUUCAUAAAGUUUACUUUAAGAAGUGACUUAGUGGCGGACGGGUGAGUAACGCGUGGGUAACCUGCCUUACACAGGGGGAUAACAGUUAGAAAUGACUGCUAAUACCGCAUAAAACAGCAGAGUCGCAUGACUCAACUGUCAAAGAUUUAUCGGUGUAAGAUGGACCCGCGUCUGAUUAGCUUGUUGGUGGGGUAACGGCCUACCAAGGCAACGAUCAGUAGCCGGCCUGAGAGGGUGAACGGCCACAUUGGGACUGAGACACGGCCCAAACUCCUACGGGAGGCAGCAGUGGGGAAUAUUGGACAAUGGGCGAAAGCCUGAUCCAGCGACGCCGCGUGAGCGAUGAAGUAUUUCGGUAUGUAAAGCUCUAUCAGCAGGGAAGAAAACGACGGUACCUGACUAAGAAGCCCCGGCUAACUACGUGCCAGCAGCCGCGGUAAUACGUAGGGGGCAAGCGUUAUCCGGAUUUACUGGGUGUAAAGGGAGCGUAGACGGCAUCACAAGUCAGAAGUGAAAAUCCGGGGCUCAACCCCGGAACUGCUUUUGAAACUGUGGAGCUGGAGUGCAGGAGAGGUAAGCGGAAUUCCUAGUGUAGCGGUGAAAUGCGUAGAUAUUAGGAGGAACACCAGUGGCGAAGGCGGCUUACUGGACUGUAACUGACGUUGAGGCUCGAAAGCGUGGGGAGCAAACAGGAUUAGAUACCCUGGUAGUCCACGCUGUAAACGAUGAAUACUAGGUGUUGGGUUUCAUAAGAAGCUCGGUGCCGGCGCAAACGCAUUAAGUAUUCCACCUGGGGAGUACGUUCGCAAGAAUGCAA